GUUUGAUCCUGGCUCAGGAUGAACGCUGGCGGCGUGCCUAAUACAUGCAAGUCGAACGAGGUGCUUUUGUAGCAAUACGAAAGUAUCCUAGUGGCGAACGGGUGAGUAACGCGUUGGUGACCUGCCCCAAAGUGUGGGAUAACAGUCCGAAAGGAUUGCUAAUACCUCAUGUGGUCAUCGGGUUUAGAAACCGAUGACUAAAGCAGCAAUGCGCUUUGGGAGGGGCCUGCGUCCCAUCAGCUAGUUGGUGAGGUAAUGGCUCACCAAGGCGACGACGGGUAGGGGACCUGAGAGGGUGGCCCCCCACAAUGGAACUGAAACACGGUCCAUACACCUACGGGUGGCAGCAGUAGGGAAUAUUGCUCAAUGGGCGAAAGCCUGAAGCAGCAACGCCGCGUGCGCGAUGAAGGUCUUCGGAUCGUAAAGCGCUUUUAUGAGGGAUGAGAAAGGACAGUACCUCAGGAAUAAGUCUCGGCUAACUACGUGCCAGCAGCCGCGGUAAAACGUAGGAGGCAAGCGUUAUCCGGAUUCACUGGGCGUAAAGCGCGUGCAGGCGGUUCGGUAAGUUGGGCGUGAAAUCUCCUGGCUUAACUGGGAGAGGUCGUCCAAUACUACCGGACUUGAGAGUGAUAGAGGAAGAUGGAAUUCCCGGUGUAGUGGUGAAAUGCGUAGAUAUCGGGAGGAACACCAGUGGCGAAAGCGAUCUUCUGGAUCAUUUCUGACGCUCAGACGCGAAAGCUAGGGUAGUAAACGGGAUUAGAGGCCCCGGUAAUCCUAGCCGUAAACGAUGUAAACUUGGCGUUGGUGGCUUAAACACCAUCAGUGCCGCAGCUAACGCGAUAAGUUUACCGCCUGGGGACUACGAUCGCAAGAUUAAAACUCAAAGGAAUUGACGGGGGCCCGCACAAGCAGCGGAGCGUGUGGUUUAAUUCGAUGCUACACGAAGAACCUUACCCGGGUUUGACAUGCAAGUGGUAGUGAUCUG
rnacentral:rRNA from 1 species